rnacentral:tRNA from 1 species
CCAGCCGAAGGCGUUCCUGGAGCGCGCCGGCUUCCACCCGGCGGCGCUCGACCUCGGCGUCGAGCCGCUCGACCCGGCGCGGGUGAGC